GCUAAUACCGCAUGAGACUACAGAGCUGCAUGGCUCAGUGGUCAAAGGAGCAAUCCGCUGAAAGAUGGACUCGCGUCCGAUUAGAUAGUAGGCGGGGUAACGGCCCACCUAGUCGACGAUCGGUAGCCGGACUGAGAGGUUGAACGGCCACAUUGGGACUGAGACACGGCCCAGACUCCUACGGGAGGCAGCAUG
rnacentral:rRNA from 1 species